rnacentral:lncRNA from 1 species
AGUCUCUUUCCCAGCAGUGAUGCCGUCUCAGCCACCAGUUCUCUGCCAGCGGGGUCAGCACAGGCAUGGUGCAGAACAUUGAGUUAUGGGGGUCCAGGGUAAACUUGGCUACCUUGGUAAACAUGGCUACAAGAUGUCAUGUUGGAGCAUUGCAGACUGCUCUUCUCCCUUCUGCCUUUACAUACAAGAUGCCUGUUGCUGAGAACACUUGUUCCCACUUCUCUAGCAGGCAAGGAUCUGGGCAGGACAACAACCACAGGCAUGUGCUUUCUCAUCAUGUGAUGUCAUCUGCCAGGUCAUGAUGCAGCAAGAAGGCCCUCACCAGAUGCCACCCCUCCAGAACCAUGAGCCAAAUAAAUGUC